CAGUAGCCGCGGUAAUACGAAGGGUGCAAGCGUUACUCGGAAUUACUGGGCGUAAAGCGUGCGUAGGUGGUGGUUUAAGUCCGUUGUGAAAGCCCUGGGCUCAACCUGGGAAUUGCAGUGGAUACUGGGUCACUAGAGUGUGGUAGAGGAUAGUGGAAUUUCCGGUGUAGCAGUGAAUUGCGUAGAGAUCGGAAGGAACAUCUGUGGCGAAGGCGACUAUCUGGGCCAACACUGACACUGAGGCACGAAAGCGUGGGGAGCAAACAGGAUUAGAUACCCCGGUAGUCCCUGUCUCUUAUAC
rnacentral:rRNA from 1 species